GCAUCAAUAAUAUAAAUAUAUUAGUAUUCUAUCUUUCCAAGUUAGAUGUUUGAGUUGUC
rnacentral:tRNA from 1 species